GCCGGAAUAGCUCAACUGGUAGAGCAACUGACUUGUAAUCAGUAGGUUGUGGGUUCAAGUCCUAUUUCCGGCACCA
rnacentral:tRNA from 2 species